AACAAUGAGCUAAGAUAACCAAGAGUGAGUUAAGAGACAAAGAAAAUCUGCUUCUUGUUCAUUGAAAUGGCUCAAAACCGAAAACCAAGCAAAGCUCUCUCAAGGCAUGUUCAAAACAAGAGAAACCUUAGAAGAAAGAAGCAAAAACCAUGAGCUAUAUGUCUCUCUUUUGUGUGGCUCGGUUUUCACACCCCAAAUACCAAGAGUUUCACAUUUGGUGGGGUCCACACACUACAAGUCAGCCCUAAAGAGAUG
rnacentral:lncRNA from 1 species